GCCUGGGUGGCUCAGUCAGUAAGCAUCUGACUUCAGCUCAGGUCAUUAUCUCGUGGUUUGUGGGUUUGAGCCCCACGUCGGGCU
rfam:Felis catus isolate Cinnamon breed Abyssinian chromosome X, whole genome shotgun sequence.